UGAAUUCUAGGUUGAAUUUUUGCUCAAGUGUUGAGCUUGACUUGAGAGUUGUUAAUCUUAUGUUUGGGAUGCAUAUUCUGUGAUGAAUUUAAGCAUGAAAUUGUGUUUUACUCCCUGUUUUGGUUGAGGUUCGAUUAUAUGGUAAAGUGGGCAUGUUUAGACCUUAAAAUCUGGUUUUCUGGGUUUUUCGAACCCAGUGGCCGCGGCCAGAUCUAUGGUCGCCGCGGCCAUAAAACCUGGCAGUGAGCCAUCUUUUUCCUGAUUUUGUUUUGGCCAUAACUUUUGACUCGGGACUCCGUUUGGGACGUUCUUUAUACCGUUGGAAAGCUCUUUUCGAGCUCUAUGUGAUUAUCUGUAUUGUAAAUGCCAUGCUUGAAUUUUAUUGAGUUAAAAGUCAGGGGUUAACCCUAAGUAUGAAUUAUCCCGGAUUUGUGUGACUAGGAUUACCGGCACCUGAUCAGGAGCACCCGGGGAUUUGGAAUCUCCUUCUAUAGCUGGACAACAGGAAAGGGUAAGGCAUUAGCUGAUCUGCCAUGAGUUUUCAGGAGCAGGACGAAGAAUGUACAUGUUCACGCCACUUCAGACCAAGCGGGUUAUGGGUCUAACAGUGUUGACUUUUGUAUUCUGUUUUGCCGCUUAGGCCGGCUAGUAAGAAAGAACUUGUAAUAAUUUUGUAAAUAUUUUUGGGAUCCCAACUAUGUUUGAAAAGUUUAAAUAUAUUACAAGUUUAUUUUCA